GUAAACUUGACCUGCAGGGCAUGUAUGUUUACAAUCUUUAGAACAGAGUAGGAAGUCCACCUGCUUAUCAUAAUAUGCCUGGGAACCAGGUAGCCACUGGGAAUUACUCUGCCUGGAGUCUGGAUUAAAUGUUUCACUGCAUCCAGAACACUUCAUCAUGUAGCAUAGCCAAAAUCUAUUAUGGUUUGUAAGUGACUCAUACUUCAGCUAUGAGAAGGCCAUAAUAAAGAACAUUUUACAUUAAAAUGCCAAAAAGCAUUCAGCAGCAUGUGUUCCUGGGACUUGAGUGUGUUCCUUACCAGCAAAGAAAUAUGUAUGAACAACAGGCAAAGCUGGAAACCAGCCAAGCCUUGCAAGAACAGCC